rfam:Trichinella murrelli scaffold271s, whole genome shotgun sequence.
GCUGCGAUGGCCGAGUGGUUAAGGCGUUGGACUUGAAAUCCAAUGGGAUAUUCCCGCGUAGGUUCAAAUCCUACUCGCAGCG